rfam:Zea mays cultivar B73 chromosome 2, whole genome shotgun sequence.
UUCUGCCAAUGAUGAGUUGCAACUUUAUUGCCUACAUUGUCUGAAAGUCUGUGAUAAGAAGUGCAAUUUCUGAGGCACAA